GUGCUCACUUUGGCAGCACACAUACUAAAAUCGGAACGAUAUAGAGAAGAUUAGCAUGGCCCCUGUGCAAAGAUGACAUGCAAAUUCAUGAAGCAUUCCCUAUUUUU